rnacentral:rRNA from 1 species
GAGUUACGAUUUGAUGCAAGGUUAAGCAGUAAAUGUGGAGCCGUAGCGAUAGCGAGUCUGAAUAGGGCGUUUAGUAUUUGGUCGUAGACCCGAAACCAGGUGAUCUACCCUUGGUCAGGUUGAUGUUCAGGUAACACUGAAUGGAGGACCGAACCGUCUUACGUUGAUAAGUGAGCGGAUGAACUGAGGGUAGCGGAGAAAUUCCAAUCGAACCUGGAGAUAGCUGGU